rnacentral:rRNA from 1 species
GAUGAACGCUGGCGGCGUGCCUAAUACAUGCAAGUCGAGCGAACAGAUAAGGAGCUUGCUCCUUUGACGUUAGCGGCGGACGGGUGAGUAACACGUGGGUAACCUACCUAUAAGACUGGAAUAACUCCGGGAAACCGGGGCUAAUGCCGGAUAACAUUUAGAACCGCAUGGUUCUAAAGUGAAAGAUGGUUUUGCUAUCACUGAUAGAUGGACCCGCGCCGUAUUAGCUAGUUGGUAAGGUAACGGCUUACCAAGGCAACGAUACGUAGCCGACCUGAGAGAGUGAUCGCCCAAACUGGAACUGAGACACGGUCAAGACUCCUACGAGAAGCAGCAGUAGGAAAGCUUCCGCGAUGGGCAAAAGGCUGACGGGGCCAAGCGGCGUGAUUGAUGAAGGUCUUCGGAUCGUAAAACUCUGUUAUUAGAGAAGAACAAAUGUGUAAAUAACUGUGAACGUCUUGACGGUACCUGAUCAGAGAGCCACGGCUAACUACGUG